UGCCAACCAAAAUAAUAGGAAUAUCUUCUUUCUGCCGAGCCCUGCGGAGCUGUAUUCUGAGUUCAGAAGCUUUCUCAAAGCUUGCUCGGUCUGUGAUGGAGUAGACAAUCAAGUAGGCAUCUCCCACUUUCAUGCAGUGGUCUCGAAUCCAUUCUCCUUCACGCUUGUUAUCCCACAUGUCAAGCAGUACAAUGGUUGCACUCUCCCCAUCCACCAUCAGCGUUCUUUCAUACGUGUCUUCUCCCAGCACCUCGCAGUCGCUGUCAAUGCUGUCGUGUACCCCUGCAAAGAUGUUGGCCAGUGACGACUUGCCCACACCUUGCUCCCCAAUCAGCACCACUCUGUAGCAGUUGCUGCAGGACUCAGAGGAGAUGACAGAGUCAGAUGACUCUGAGGACCAGCUCCUUCUGUAGUAUUCGUCAGGGCUGAUGGUGUAUCUCUUCUGCACAUUGUACUCGUUGGAGUCCUUCUGGACCAGCAGGUUCUUCCCAUCAGCGGGGAUGCUCCAUCGCUGCUGCUGCUGCUGCAGGCUGCUGUGGUGGGUGCGACGCAUGGUAACGUUGUUGAGGGUCAUUUUUUUACCCUUGUGUGCGACCGUCCGCGCCGUCAGCUCCGGGUUCGCGCUGCCCUCCGCUCCGUGGGCUGUGCUACACUGAGCUGCUCUGCCUGAGUAAAU
rnacentral:lncRNA from 1 species